GGUGUGACCCUCAUCGCCCCCUGCACAUGGAGCCCUCCCAAUACCAGCCCACAGCUUUGUACAAGAGCCUCUUCAUUCACCCAGCCUGUGUGUGCCCCAUCUUUCUUGCUGAGACUCUAACUCCUCCACCCCUGUCUCCUGAGUGACUUGCCUAGAGCACCCCUCCCCUGGCUUGGUUGGGAAUUCACAACAGCAGGGAUGUUUUCGAGGUCAUUGAACCCAGUGUGCAGCUUGUAGGAUCAGCACGGGGGGUGGUAGAAGGUUGGGGUAAUAAACUCUGAGAAGGUGUCUGACCCCAAUGGUUUUCGAAAGUGGGGUAUUUUACCCCUGCCUAUCCUUAGAUCGAUGUCCUGGAGCCAAAUUCCAAAUCAGCAGCCACAUGAAAAGUCCCACCUCGUUGUGGGAUUAAACUGUUAGGCCAGCCUUUGUGACCAGAGCAAUUGCAAAAUGUGGGGGAGGAAAUUCAAAGCCUACUGCAUGGGUCACCAUGUGGCCUGGGCUAAUGUGUGCGUGCGUGUGCAUGCGUGCGUGUGUGUAUGUGUGUGUUUAUGUCUGUGUUGAGUUGUCACAUCUGUGUUCCAAGGAGACUGCUGAGGGGGAAGGGCAGUCCCCACAGACACCGAGCAGAUACCUGGAGACAGAAGGGCUUUGGGUGGGUGGCCAGCCUGGAGGAAGCAAAGGGAAGAGAGGCUGCCAGGAGGUCCAGCUAAUGGAAGGAGAUGGGCUUAGGGAUGGCAGGAAGAGAUGGGGAGUGGGGCGAGGGCCCGGUGUGGGCGUGCUUCAUGGCCCAAUUCAAUUAAGCUCCCUAUUCUUAAUUUCCUACUAAAUCCGGGCCUGCCAGCUCUGUGGACUCCUUUCUACUCCCCUCAUGCCUCAUUCUCCUUCCUUUUCCCCAGCUCCUCUCCCUCCAUACUCCUCAUUUUCCUCCUCUUUUUGCCCCUCGGUCCCAGAAUUCCUGGGAACAAAGGGAAGCAAACGGGGACGGUCAGAGCAUCAGACCCAGGCCUUCAGCUGGAGCAGCGGCUCACUCCCUUCCCCACCUCCCUUCCCGGGCUGGGCGUCUACAGCACUAGGUCCCCGGUUAGCGGACGCUGCCCUGCUGCCCCCUGGUGGCCAGAGUGGCUGCAGCUGCAGGAACGGGGACUGAGGUCCACACCUCUGCCUGCGGGGCGAUGAAAGAAAAAUGAAAAAAAAAAAAAUAAAUAAAAAAAAUAAAAAUAAAAAUAAAAAAAAGAAAGAAAAAUGAUCCUGCUGGCAGCCAGGGUGCUGGAGAGUGCCGGGGGGGGGGGUUAGGACGGAGAAUUGAAAUGGAGAAAACACAGUUUGCAAAACAUAUUGUGACUUGCAAAACAGGUAAUGGAGCUUCAUCAAGCCAUGAUGCCCACCGCAGACGAUCUGAGCUCACCCUUAUAAACACCUGUGUACUUAGACUCACAGGUUCCAGAAGAAUACAAACUGAUCUAAUAGUAACACUCCUCGAGGACUCCUGUGCUCCCAACAUGGGAUUGCUGACUGCUCCAACAACUCCCUGUUCUGCAAAUUCUGACCAACCUCUGCCAAAGACUCUCCCUUGACUACCUCCUGCAACACCCCCCCCCCACAAUCCCAUAAGUACCCUUCUCUAACUCCUUGCUUUAGAGACACCCCCAGGGGUCCUACAGUGUGAGGUCUUUGCUGCAGCAGAUGAUAAGCCCAGGCUUGCUGGCUUCAGGUGUGUUCCUGGUGGAGCAGGCUGCCCUCACUGACAAGAGAUUCCUGGGUGAGAAGGUGACAUGUCAGCUCUCCACUCCAGCCUGCCCACCCCCAUGGGCUCUCAGGGACUGCCCCAUCUAGAGCCCCGCAACCCUGAACCGACCCAUCAUGGUGCACUCUGGCACCAGGACAAAGUGCCACACUGUAUUUUUUUCCCUCAGGGGAAGCACACCAUGUCCAGCAUUUGGCUCUGUAAAGGCAGGAUUGAGGGGCGGACAGAGCUGCGCCAUGUUCAGAGUGUUGCCUCUACCAGCCUCCCCAGCUUGAGGUUUCAAAGACACAGACUGGGCCCUCUCUGGUUCUUUGGGGGGCAGGAGGGUUGUCCCCAAAGAUGGUGUCAUGAUGUCCCCUAGCCUUGUGUGUCCCUGUGGCCUCCUGUCUACCUUCCAGGCCUGGAUGGGGUUCCCCACCUUCACUGGCUGUCAGGAAGACACCCAAGCUCUGGGUUCGAGGACACAGCUGGGUGUUUGGGAGAGGGGCUAGAGGCCCUCCUAAGGGGCUUACAGAUCUGAGGGUGGACCUAGGCCCCAAGGACCAGCUCCAGUCCGGGAGCUCUGCUGAAGGGAAGCCAGAAUCUUCUCCCUCUCUAAGGGUGAGGACUCCAAAAAGAUCUGUAUAUGCCCCGCAAGAGUCCUCUCUGCACCCUAACAUCAUUUGCCCCAUCUCCCCCAGCUCAGGGAAGGAGAGAUCACUUUCUCCUGGCAUCGCUUCCCCCUGAGGGAGAGCCCUCCUCCCUGUCUUCCCAGCUUGGCCUGAGGGGCACACAGAAUAUUUGCCCUCAGCCUAGCUCAGCCAUGAGAGGGAGGGUAUGACCAUGACCCUGAGUUCGUCUUUCUUGGGCCCUUGCCCCCAGUCCUGCCCCAUUCCAGUGCCUCUACACACCCUCAGAGCCCCGGACCCCUGGGUGCCCCUAGAAGUCCUUGCCUCCUCACGGGGUAGCCUCUAAGACUGGACUCCUCCUCCGGGAAGGUGUGACCAAGCUCAGCUGGUCCUCCUAGCACCCCUUGUGACUACCUCUGGGCAGAAGUCAGGGUUCACCCACUGCCCAUGAGAUGUCUAUAAUUUGGAUCCCACUAGCACAUUAGUAGGUAAAAUGCAUCUGACUCUCAUCAUGUGGAAGGGGAAGCCCAAGUGCAGGGAGUGGGCAGUACAAAGGUGAGCCAGCCUUCCAAGUCCCACCCUCACAUCUUCACUGCAUCUGCAGCCCUCACCCACAAGCUUUUCCUCCACCUAUAUCCAAGUGCCUUCUUUUCACGAUACUUAGAAACCACAUAAACCUUAGGCUGUUUACAUUUGAAUCUUGGCUCUGCUACUCAUAAAUCAGAUGAUUUUGGGCACUUUGGUUUCCUCAUAUAAGAUUCAUAUUUUAUUUGAACUCUGUCUUUUCCUACUAGGGUGAGGUCUCCCAGGGAACAGGGGGCCUUGUACUUUUGUCACUGAUUUAUCCUCAGUGCCCAGAACAGUGCCUGGCACAUGGUACACAAUUGUUGAAUGAAUGAAUGAAUGAAUGAAUGAAUGAAUAGCAGCUCAAAGUGAGGAAUGAGAUAAACUCUAUAAACUGUUUUGCAGAAUAUCUAGUACCAAUGGGUACUCAUUAGAUGUUAACUCCUUUCCUUUGCAAAACAAGUCAAAUUAAUCAUUUCAUGUAAGGUUCACAAUGGCUCUUUGAGGCAAAAACAUUACCAUUGAUUCAUUCCUCCAUUUAUUCAAGAAAUAUUUACCAAGAGACUACUAUAUCCCAGGUACUGUCAUUGUAGAUAGUUGGAAAUCAUCAAUGAAUAAAAAACAAAGACCUUUCCCUCGUGGAGUUUACAUUCAAGGGGGGGAUGAGAGAGACAAAAGCACCAGACUUAAAUGUAAAUUCCAUGGCAUGCUAGAAAGGGAACAGCAGAGCAGAAAGAGGGAUUGGAAGAGUGGGAAAGUUGGGAGUAAGGGGUGGGGUGGAUAUGAUUUUAAAGAGAACAGUCAGGUGAAGCUCAGGAGGGACCCAAAAGAGAGAAUUUGAGCAGACUUGAAGGAGUGGGAGUUAACAGAGGGGGUCUCUCAGGGAAGAGUUUCCCAGACAGAGGGGAGUGUAAAUGGUCCCACUACCUGCGUAAGGAGGCAGUGGCUGGGGUGGAGGAAGGAGGAGUGGAGGCCAGAGAUGAGGGGAAUCUGGUAGGACAUGGAAUGAGGCAGAAAGUAAUGAGAGAGUUACAAUCUGGCUUAUAUUUUAGAAGGAUCUAGCUAGGGGUGCCUGGGUGGCUCAGUCGGUUAAGCAGCUGACUCUUAAUCUGACUCAUGACUCAGGUCAUGAUCUCAGGCUCAUGGGAUGGAACCCCAUGUUGGCUCCACACUCAGUAUGGAGUCUGCUUGAGAUUCUCUCUGCCCCUCCCCCCACUCAUGCAUGUUCUCUUUUUCUCUCUCUAAAAUAAAAACAAAUAAAAAAAUAAAAAA
rnacentral:lncRNA from 1 species